rnacentral:rRNA from 1 species
GUGGGGAAUCUUAGACAAUGGGGGCAACCCUGAUCUAGCCAUGCCGCGUGAGUGAUGAAGGCCUUAGGGUCGUAAAGCUCUUUCGCUGGGGAAGAUAAUGACGGUACCCAGUAAAGAAACCCCGGCUAACUCCGUGCCAGCAGCCGCGGUAAUACGGAGGGGGUUAGCGUUGUUCGGAAUUACUGGGCGUAAAGCGCGCGUAGGCGGAUUGGAAAGUUGGGGGUGAAAUCCCGGGGCUCAACCCUGGAAUGGCCUUCAAAACUCCCAGUCUUGAGGUCGAGAGAGGUGAGUGGAAUUCCGAGUGUAGAGGUGAAAUUCGUAGAUAUUCGGAGGAACACCAGUGGCGAAGGCGGCUCACUGGCUCGAUACUGACGCUGAGGUGCGAAAGCGUGGGGAGCAAACAGGAUUAGAUACCCGGGUAGUCC